rnacentral:rRNA from 1 species
UAAGACGAACCGUGCGAACGUUGUUCGGAUUCACUGGGCUUAAAGGGCGCGUAGGCGGCGGACCCAGUCGGGGGUGAAAGCUUCCCGCCCAACGGGAAAAGGGCCUCCGAUACUGGUUCGCUCGAGGGGGGUAGGGGCAUGCGGAACUAAUGGUGGAGCGGUGAAAUGCGUAGAUAUCAUUAGGAACGCCGGUGGCGAAAGCGGCGUGCUGGACCCCUUCUGACGCUGAGGCGCGAAAGCCAGGGGAGCAAACGGGAUUAGAUACCCCGGUAGUCCUGGCCCUAAACGAUGGGGACUAGGUUGUGGACUUGACAUGGGUUCACAGCCGAAGCUAAAGUGCUAAGUCCCCCGCCUGGGGAGUAUGGUCGCAAGGCUG